AUGCAAGACCGCAAAGUGAUUGCUUAUGCCUCUAGGCAAUUGCGCCCUCACGAAGAGAACUACCCAGUUCACGACCUCGAACUUGCUGCUGUCAUUCAUGCGCUGAAGCAGUGGCGACAUUACCUUCUCGGUAAUCGUUGCGAGAUCUUCACUGACCACCAAAGUCUGAAGUAUCUGUUUACUCAGCCAGACCUGAACCUCCGUCAGCAGAGAUGGAUGGAGCUUGUUGCAGACUUUGACUUGGGUAUUUCCUAUACGCCAGGCAAGGCUAAUGUAAUGGCUGAUGCCUUGAGCCGCAAGUCUUACUGCAACCACCUCCAGGUUCACAAAGUUCAGCCCUCGCUUGUUGAAGAAUUCAGGAAGCUGAACCUCCAUAUUGUUCCUCCGGGUGCACUCGCUCCCCCUCCUAAGGAGUUUGGCAAGAUGAACCUCCAUGUUGUUACCCAGGGUUCCCUCAAUACCCUAGUUGCUAAACCAGAUCUCGUGGACAGCAUCAAAAGGCUACAGAAGUAUGACUCUGAAGCCCACAAGAUUGAGCGCUACCUCGCAGAAGGAAAGCCCUCAUUCUUCACUAUUGCUAAAGAUGGCACUUUAUACUUCAAGGGCCGCCUAGUGGUGCCAUGUGCAGAGAAAAACCUGGAUAUGACACGGGAAGUUAUGAAAGAAGCUCAUGAUACGCCCCUAUGUAUCCAUCCUGGUAGUACAAAGAUGUACCAAGACAUCCGUCAGAGAUUCUGGUGGUCUAAUAUGAAGCAAGACAUUGCUCGAUAUGUUGCUGAGUGUGACGUUUGCCGUCGUAUCAAAGCAGAACAUCAAAGACCUGCUGGAACUCUGCAACCUAUAUCUAUUCCUGAAUGGAAAUGGGACCAUGUUGAGAUGGACUUCGUCACUGGAUUUCCCAAAUCACAGAAAGGUAAUGAUGCUAUUCUUGUCGUCAUUGACCGGCUUUCCAAAGUUGCACAUUUUCUGGCGGUCAAGGAAACGAUCACUGCUAGUCAACUGGCAACGCUCUAUAUGUCCAGGAUUGUUUCACUCCACGGUAUUCCAUUGGUUAUCAGCUCAGACCGUGGCAGCUUAUUCACUUUAAGAUUCUGGGCAAGUUUCCAAGAAGCCAUGGGAACUCAUCUAUCAUUCAGUACUGCAUUUCAUCCUCAGUCGCAAGGGCAAGUUGAACGCGUCAACCAAGUUCUCGAAGACGUGCUUCGAGCUUGUGUUAUUUCCUUCGGCAAGAAAUGGGAGGAAUCUCUCCCGUAUGCCGAGUUCUCCUAUAAUAAUAGCUAUCAAGCUAGUCUGAAGAUGGCCCCCUUCGAAGUGUUAUAUGGGCGAAAGUGCCGAACCCCUCUGAACUGGUCAGAAACGGGGGAACGUCCACUCUUCGGUCCGGAUAUUAUCCAACAUGCCGAAGAACAAGUCCGCAUUAUUCGUGAGAAUCUCAAAGCUGCUCAGUCACGUCAGAAGAGUCAGUAUGACCGUCAUCAUAAAGACAUGGUCUAUCAACCUGGCGAAAAGGCUUAUCUUCGAGUCACACCAAUGAAGGGUGCUCACCGCUUCGGAAUGAAGGGCAAACUAGCUCCUCGCUAUAUUGGCCCAUUCACUAUUCUGGAAAGGCGUGGAAAAGUGGCAUACCAACUGGAGCUACCGCCGAACCUUUCUCAGGUUCACGAUGUGUUCCAUGUGUCACAGCUCUGCCGUUGCUUCAAGGACCCAAUUCGAGCUGUGGAUCAUGAAGUGCUCGAAUUGCAGCAGGACCUCUCCUAUAAGGAGCAUCCGGUCCGCAUUCUCGACCAAGCUGAACGCCGCACACGUCAGAAGGCGAUCAAGUUCCUCAAAGUCCAGUGGUCGCACCAUUCUGAGGAUGAAGCCACUUGGGGACGCGAGGAUCGCCUGCGUGAUGAAUACCCCGCACUGUUUCCUUCUACCUCCUAA
rnacentral:rRNA from 1 species